rnacentral:lncRNA from 1 species
CGAACCAGGAAGAGAAGUCUAGGCAUAGGUCAAGGCCAAUGUCCAAAUACACCAGAAACAAAUGAUCACCGUCAAAGAGGUGUUGUAGGAUAAGUGCAUGACCCGGCAGAAAUAAGUAUCAUAUACUACUGCCACUGGAAAAUGCACCACCAAACCGAUGGGACUGAGAAUGAACAAUCCUGAUGCUGCCCUAUUUCUGUGUUUCUCUAAGAGUGCAAGCACACUACUAACCCAAAGAACACUAGUAUUCUUAGUUUUCUUCACAUAAUGGAUACUUGAGAGGAAUACUGUUUUGGACACUGGUUUGAAUUGACAAGCUCCUUAAAUCAGGUUGUUAGGUGUUAUACGAUGGGCAGCUGAACAACUUGGGCCUCCGACAGCAGCAUAUCUCCCUGUGCCAGUCACCUUCAAACUGUUGUCCCAUAAAUUCACAACUCUAACUGACCUUUGCCAAGACAGAUCAACAAGCAAUCGCCAUGGGGUUGUUUCAAUCUGGGCUAGGAUUACACAGGAAGCUGCCAUUGUGUUGUCACUGUCAGAAACUAUAAGGACUACUACGAGGAGCAGAGGCCAACAAUGUAAAAGCUGUCCUAUGAAUGUCUAACAAUAUACCAUCAUCAUCAUCACUGAGCAAGAAGUAAGACGGCAAGAAGGAGACUUUUGGUUGCCAAAGAAGUCUUAAGUUGUUUCGUGUACAUCAGCAAGAUAUUGGACCUGCCUACAUAACCAAAAGUAUGUGGACACCUGCUCGUGUAACAUCUCAUUCCAAAAAUCAUAGGCAUUAAUAUGGAGAUGGUCCCCCCUUUGCUGCCAAAACAGCCUCCACUCUUCUGGGAAGGCUUUCCACUCGAGCAGUGCAGGCAUACCCUGGCCGACCUUGGACUUGGGAGGUUUUUGAUACGGAGCUAUUUACCGACAGAUUAUGGGGAUAGUCGGCCUUCACCCCUGUCUCCAGCCUGAUGGACAACCUGACCUCUCAGUGGAUCCCUGAUCUCACCUCCUUGAUCUCAGCCUUCACAGUCAAACGCUCCUCUGCUUACUGAUAUCUGUGUUAUGUGAGGACUCUCAGGAUGACUGUUAGGUACCAUUGUUUUUUUAGCGCAUCACUAUUAAUCAAACCUAUGGAUGGGAGGGUUGACCUGAACCUUGCAGCGUGGCAGGACAAGUAACCUGAAGUCAUAUUACCUCCACCAUCUCUAACCAACUGAAAACACACACAUGCACUGAGAUGAUCAUGAACUGGUCUCUAGGAGAUACUGGUGAACAACUGGAAUGUUUUUUCUUCUAGGCUCCCUGCUCAGUUCCUCCAAAUCUAAAGAGAUCAUUUUACUUAACAGUGAUGAUGGCUGGUCAGAACUCAGAUCUAAGGAGGCUCUCCAAUAUCUUAGUUGGCUGAAUGUAGGUUCGAUCAAACGUGUGCUAUGGAUGUAUAUUUAGAUUUGACCUAGCUAUCUCAAAGUGAGUGACUUUUAAAGAUUAUAAGAUGAAAUGGGGAAUAAACCAAACCAAGACAAUGAUACUGACCGUAGGCUACACUCUUACAAAAAAAAGGUUCUGUCUAGAACCUAAAACAGUUCUUCAGCUGUUCCCAAAGGAGAACCCUUUGAAUGACUAUUUUUGGUUGCAGGUAGAACCCUUUUUGUUCCAGGUAGAACCCUUUUGGCUUUCAUGUAAAACCCUUUCCACAGAGGUUUCUACAUGGAACCCAAAAGAGUUCUACCUGUAACCAAAAAGGAACCAAUAGGGUUCUCCUAGGGUUCUCCUAUGGGGACAGCUGAAAACCCCUUUUGGAACCCUUUUUCUAAGAGUGUAGUUAACAGUUGGAAACUUAGCUAUGCUUUCUCAAACAAUUGUGACUUGCUGUGUGGCUGAUAAAAUGUGCAAUGAUGAUUGGGUUACAGCUCCCCCUUCCACCCUCUAGAGAACCUGUAUCCUGUGACUCACACUCUUACUUACCCCCUGGGUUUACCCCCAUAGGGGCCCGAUCCCUUUUGGUAGUUCCAGUUUGGACUUAAUCACCCCUGAGUGUGCCCUUGGGACCUAUUUAGAACAUGUCGCCUACACUCUGAAGGUAACGUUUCUUUGGCACCUCUCUGCCCCAAGUGUUAAAAGAGUGCAUCUUCAAAAUGGGAGUUGCCAUAUGUACCGGGCUGGCGGUUUCAAAUGGGCUUUCCAUCAAGUGCCAGUGUAUUUUACUCCUCUUACAGCCAGGGCACACUCAGAACCAAGGACAGGUCCUCUGUUGAAAGCUCUGCCAUCUUUGGGGAAGUGUUUUAGUGGGUUUGGAGGUUGAGAGGACUUGGAGGAAUGUUCUGGCUGGGGAAAGUCUGGUAAAUUAGACUGAAGGCGGGGUAAUAUCACAGACCUAGGAGCACUUAAAGAAAGAGAGGAUGAUCUGAUGGGCCAUGUGUUGGGGGUUGGGCGGAUGCUGAAGGUAACAGGGUUCAUGGAUUCAUCUGGUGUAGAGGUAAUCUGGUAUAUACAUACAUACUUGAAAAUAAAAGUGCUUCUUCAAAGCUUAUCAAUAAUGCUAAUGAUCUAAUUUCAAUAUGUACUGGAUGAGAAUUAAUCAGGCAUUCAGUCAUGUGGAC